rnacentral:lncRNA from 1 species
CAAUAUUAACAGAUUUUCAUUUAUUUUUCAGGUCAGCUAGUCCAAUCCGUUUGAAGAAAGAGAGGAAUGAGUAUAUAAAGGAACGAAGAAAUAAAGAAAGGAAAGAAAAAAAAAAUCCAGUCGAUCUUACCACUUUAAAAAAUCUUAACACACACACACACCAAGAAAUAUAAUAAAAUAAAAGCAGUAAGAUAGUUAUAAAUAACAGAGCAUACAUAUAUAUAUACGUCUAUAUAUAUGAGUGUGUGUGGGCUGACGACAAAAGAAGAGGAACAGAAAGAACAUUUGCCACAAACUUAUAUCAAUUUCGUAGACAUCCACUAUCAUGGUGCAGACUGCCUCACUUUAAACCUCACUUCACUCCUCACUGAUACUCCUUAACUAACGGGAAAUUUAAAUAAUUAAGCGGCAUACUAAUAAAGUUUCCAUUAUUGUACUACAUUGUAGCAGUACCUAUCAUCAGUUUUGGGUAUUUCAGUUGAGUUUGGUACUCGCGUGUUAUUAUUGUAGUUGCAGCUGCGUGUGUUGUAUGCGAACGCGUGAUCUCCACCUCUGCGUGUGUACAUGUGUGUAAACAGACGUGUGUGUGUUCUGUUGUGUUGUGUGUAUAUUAUAUUUAAGUGAGGAUUCAAUUUAUAUAUAUAUAUAUGUUUGUAGAUGCAUAUAUAUAUUAAGUUAGUGAGGUUUGAAUAACAGUUAUUUUCAAGUGAGGUUAUUAUUUGUAAACUUUUUUUAUAUCCAAACUUUUUUUAAUUUAACAAAAAAAAAAAUACAAAAAAUAUUCUGAGCAUUUUUUAUACCACUGAUUUUAUUAAUACCAUUUGUUAUUUUAAAAAUAUAAAAAAAAAUCAUUAAAAAAAUUGAAAAAAUUUUAAAUUAACAAAAAAAAUAUUUAAAAAAAUAGCGAACAAAUUUUAACAAAGUUGAACAUAAAAAGGAAGAAAGGAUUGUGAACAGAAAAAGAAAGGAAAAACAAGAAGUUUUUGUAAAUAAUAAUUUGCCUUCAUUUCUUUCGCUUUUGAAUGUGAAAUUUUCUGAAACCAACUUACGUUUCUAUAUGUGACUGAGCGAACGUUGUAGCGAAAAGGAAGUUCCGCAACACAAAACCAGCGUCGAUUAAGUAUUUCCGAAGGUAACUAUUAAUAUCUUUACUACUACUACUACUACUAAAUAAUAACAAUGAUAAUAAGCAUGACAAUAAUAAACUUAGAGAAGAAACUAACUGUAAAUGACACCUUUUUAUCUUUUUUUAAAUAGAUAUUAUUUAACAAUUACUAUUUAACUAUUACUAACAUCUACUUUAUCUUUUUUGUGAGAGCGAGGAAUUCUUUGGAUAAGAAUUGGACUACGAUGCAAGGGAAUUGAAGUAGAAAUAGGUUUCAAGCAUCCAAUAAUUUAUGGAAUUAAACGUUUUUAAAGUGCCAGUCAUAUUAACGAUAGAACAAAAGGAAAAUCCGUAACAAAUUAUAUAUAUAUAUAUAUAUAUAUAUAUAUAGUGAACGUUUAACAUAAAAAUGAAAUAUUUAGUUUCCAAACGAUUGUAUUUUUUAUCAGGAAAAAAAAAACAAUCUAAAUAAGAACAACAAAAAUAUAAUAACAGCAACAACAAUAAAAACGACCGGACACAAGUAAUUACGACCAGUCAUCAUACAUGAUAUAUUUUAAACUAAACUCUCCGAACACAUUUUAAGUAGUAAGUGGAAACGUUAGCGGUGUAAAGUGUAUUUGGGUUCGUAGUUGUUCAUAUAUCUAUUUAUAUGCGGUAUGUGCAUUUAUAUGGAUAUACUUUUUUCAUUCGAUAUGGUCUGGUUUAAUUUGUCAAAAAUGUUAUGCAACAGGAGUUUGUAGAGAGAAAAAAAAAUCGAAAAGUCUUGACUAUUAUUAUGGACAACCUAUAGUAGCAGCAACAGUAUCAACAGAGGAAGCAGUAAGCAUCAACAAUAACGACGUUAAAAGUUAAGAAUAUCUGCGAUAAUUUCAAACGGGAACUUCAACAACAAAAAGAACACUAACAACAUAAUUACGUACGUUAGCUUUAGUCACACCUAUUGUAGCAAUAAUAAUAACAACAACAAGAGCACUCACAGAGAGUACAAACCUCCGCCAAAGUAACUCCAACAUUCUCGUAACGAUUUGCCGGAGAUGAUUUUUAAAAUGAGAAAAUCUGAAAUAAGCUCCACUGUUCUCACAAACGAGAAUAUUAAAAAUGAGCUCGACCACUCUCAAAAAAUUAAAUUAAAAAAAAAAAAAACGACAGGAAAAAUAAUCCAGCAUCCUUGUCCGGUAACGGAUCGAUCCCAAAAUCUAAGCAGGUCGUGCCAGUCAUGAGACCAAACAUCCCUGAAAGUUUGAUCCGAAUUCAUUCAGUGGUUCUUCAGAUAUUUUGUCCACAGACAAACAAAUACGACUGAAAAGAAUGCCUUCGGUAAGGCGAAGGUAAUAAUAUUAACACCAACGAUAAUUACGGGGUAUUUACAACAGGUUUGCAAGUAAUAAAGAGGAAGGCAAAGGAAAGGAAAUAAGGGCUUAGAUUUUGGUGGGACCUAAAAGAGACACAAAUAGAAUAGUCGAUGAAAAAAGGAAAGACAGGAGCAGAAAAGGCUAGACGAGAAAAGAGUACAAAAACCAAGGAAGAAAAACGAAGGGGGCAAAAAUGAAGAAGAUAAUGUAGAAAAUGAAGUAGAAAAGCUAGAAUCGUAAGUACAACGAGGAUACAAGAAGGGUUAAAGGAAGCUGACGAUACCAACGUACUCUAAAUAGUGUGGGUUACAACUAGUAUCUGCAAGAAUAAGAAAAGUAACGAGGGACGGGGAAUACACGGAAGAAUUAAGUAGAAGCUGGAACAAUAGCUGUACUACCAUCAUUGUGGUCAUAAACAGCGUUAAUAAUAAUAAAAAGAGUGUAGCAAGGAUUAUAAGCAUAGGACAUGAAAAGAAACAAAAAAGCAUUAAUUACAAUAGAUAAAUAAAAAUUCUUACGAGAGGAAUUGGACAGACAAUGGAAGGGGAAACUGUAGCAGCAAGAACAAUGAUGUUUAAACCGGUAGGAAUAAAAUGCUGAAGAGAUGAAGGAGAGAGUGGUCUAGAGAUGUUCUAUACUUACCCAACGUUUUUUUUUAAGAAAAAAUCUAGCGUCGAAAACAACCGCAUCAUCAUUAGUUAUAUAAGCAACCACAGAAAUAAAAAAGAAAAGCAGGAAAGCCACAACCUCAACAAUAGAUUCUGUGUUAACAGACAGACAUACACACAAGUUCACAUGGGAACUAGAAAGAAAAAAAAAAGCCCGCAUCAAUCUCCAUUAAUAACUAAAACAACAAUAACAGGAGUUAUAGAAUCAACAACUGUAGUGACAUCAGCAAGAACAACAUCAACGCAGCACACUCCACCCCUUUAUAAUAUCAACAGCAGCAACAGUAGCGCCAAUACAGUCACUUGUACACUACUACUACUACUACUACUACUGCUGCUGCCGCUGCUACAGCGACUGCGACGGCUACGAUCGCCAGCAGCAGCGCGAAUAUCUUCGGUUAAACCUAACGCAAGAACCACAAAAAUAAAGACGACUACUACUACUUUUACUACUACUACAACUACUGUUACUACUACUACUACUACUUUUACUACUGCUGCUACUAAUACUAUUUUUACUACUGCUAUUACUACUACUAUUGCUACUACUACUACUACUACUUUUACUUUUACUACUGCUGCUACUACAGCUAUUACUACUACUAUUACUACUAUUACUACUUUUACUACUACUAUUACUACUACUACUUUUACUACUACUAUUAUUAUUACUACUACUGCUACUACUACUAGCGGUGUUUACGAGAGUAGAGGGAAAGCGAAUGACUGACUACUAUUACAACUACUACUUUUACUAAUACUACUACUACUUUUACUACUACUACUACUACUUUUACUACUACUACUACUACUACUACUACUACUAUUACUACUACUCCUACUAGCGGUGUUUACGAGAGUAGAGAGAAAGCGAAUGACUGACAACGUAGUUUUUCUGCUGCACACACAUUUGCAGUGUUGUUGUUUAUCUGCUACCAAUACACAAAACAAAACAAAAACGCAACGAAAGAGACCUCUUAGGACGAAACUGCAAACUAAUCCAUUGUUGUUGUACAUGCACUUACAUACACAUCUUUCUUUCUAAUGCACACACACACACACACACACACACACACACACACACACAUAUAUAUCAAAUUCCAGAAUACGUUAUGUGUAAUAAAAAUAAGUCAAAGAGGGGAACGUGUGUUGAUCUCUUAGUAAAUUACACACACGCUUACACACACACACACACACACAUAUAUAUAUAUAUAGAUAUAACUAUGUAUGUAGGCAUGUCUGUUAGUGUGUGUGUGUGUGUGUGGGUGUUUGGAUAGGGAUGCGUUAUAAGAAUUCUGUGAUCUUAUAGAAAACUAAUACUUAUUUUAUUUAAAACAUAUAUGAUUGUGAUAUUCAGAUAGAGACAAUAAUGCAAUGAAUGUGACAAUAUUUUCAAUAAUAUAAUUAUAAUAGCCGGAAUUCUUGCCCAAACCAUACAUAUACACACACAAAUAUGCAUAUAUAUAUAUAUAUAUAUAUAUAUAUAUAUGUGUGUGCGUGUGUAAUGUAUGUGUGUGUGUGUGUGUGUAAUGUAUGUGUGUGUGUGUGUGUGUAAUGUAUAUGUGUGUGUGUGUGUGUAAUGUAUAUGUGUAUAUAUAUGUAUGCAUGAGUAUAUAUGCAUGUAUAUAUAUAUAUAAACAUAUAUAUAUAUACAUGUAUGUAUAUAUAUAUGUAUAAUAUAUAUAUAUAUGUAUUUAUAUAUAUAUAUAUUUAUUUAUGUAUUUAUGUGCAUGUAUAUAGUUACAAAGUACGCUCAUACAUACAUUCACAUAGAUACAUAUACACACAUACACACACAUGUAAAGAAAUGGAAUUACAUAAGUUUCAUAAUAUUUCACUAAUAAUCGUACUGGUCUGCAUGCGGACACACAAACACAUAGAGGGGAACUACACAGAUAUAGUUUUUGUGUGUAAGUAGGCGUAACAUCUAAUCACUUACAAUAGUAAAAGUUUAAAUCUAUAUCUACUGCUUGUAUUCCACUACUUGGGUAUCUAUCUGGUUAAUCGUAUAUCGACAUCGAAAUACGGCUAUAGAUUUACGAUGUAUCCUCACAUGGAUUUGAUCAUAGAGAGGCAAGCAUUUGUAUGUCUGUCAAUUUACUGAAAACUUAUACAUUUUUAAUAAAAGAGUGAUAAAAUAUGCGAUUGGUGCGUGUCGGUUAAGCAUAGCUUUAGCCUCGAUGCAUAUAAGUAGCUGAUCUAUUACAAGUUUAAGUGACAUAUCUAUAAAUAUAUACAUGGACUCUUAAUUAAUCUUAUUGCCUUCCCAAGGUAUUUACGACAAAUAAUAAUAAUAAUAAUGAUAAUAAUGAUAAUAAUAAUGAUAAUAAUAAUAAUAAUCCUUUCUACUGGGGGCACAAGGACUCAGAUAUGUGGGGUGUGGACUAGUCGAUUAUAUCGACCCCAGUACUUGACUGGUACUUAAUUUAUCGACCCCCGAAAGAAUGAAAGGCAAAGUCUACCUCGACGAAAUUUUAACUCAGAAUUUAAAAACGGAUGAAAUGCCGCUAAGCACUUUGACCGGCAUGCUUCGUUUCAGCCUAGUCGCCGCCAACAAUAAUAAUAAUAAUAAUGAUGAUAAUAAUCUGGUUAGAUGGUAUAAACAAUAUUUACAAAAAAUGUCUGAUAAAUUGUAAAUAUUCAUAUAUAUAUAUAUAUAAACACGUUUCUAAAUUAUUUGUGAUAGUCAUCAGUAAAGCUAAUAAUAAUAAUAAUAAUAUUAACAGUAUAUUAUUAAUAGUAAUUAAUAAGAUUGAACAUUCGUUAGUAUUUGGUAAUUACUUUAAUUAUUUUUUUAGGAAUAUACAAGCAUUAUUUUUUGUAAAAUAUUUUGGGAUAUAAUAGAGAACAGAGGCAAAAGACCAAAAAUUUUAAGUAGCGCAACAGGUAAAAUAAUACAGCAACAAGUGUAAAUCCUUGCCAAAGUCACUCACUCAUUCCUUUAAGCAACUCAUUCACUCAUUCUUUUUCUCCGUCCUCUCAGCGGUCUUUCGCUCUUGUCGACUAUAACGUGCUCACUGACGCACGCUUACACACAAACAUACACGGACCGUAGACGUACACUCACUGCAUCAACUAAUUUUAUACGAACUUCUUAGCUGCCCCUUAUUCUCUCUCACUCUCUUUCUCACGAUCAUUUUUCUCCUUCUCUCUCACUCAUUCACUCACUCACUCACACAAUCUCUCUCUCUCUCUCUCUCUCUUUUUAUCUCUCUCUUUUUCUCUCUCUCUCUGUCUCUCGUUUAAUAAACUCCUCUCUUUCGCCCGCUGCACGCAACCGAAGUCUCCACCUUCUUCACUGCUUCGACUCUUAGAUAUUUUUUUUUUCUUUUUUCUUCUUUUUUUUUUUCAAACUUCAAAUAGCAGCAGCAGCAGCAGCAACAACAGCAGUAUCAUCACUGCAACAAUAACAACAACAACAAUUACCACCACCACAACAACAACAACAAUACGGACAAAAUUUAUAAUAGCAGCAUUAUUAUAAAAUUCGCUAGCGAAACCACUUUUCGAAAGAAACCAGAAAAAAAAAAAUCCAAAUUUAAACAACAUAAGUAAAACAAACCAAAAAAAGCAACACCGCAAUUCUGCUACUACUACUACUACUACCACUACUACUAUUACUACUACUACCACUACUACUAUAACUACUACUACUACUACUACUACUACUACUACUACUACAAGAGCCUGUUUUGGUGUUUAUUAUAUUUAUUAUUGUCAUUAUCAUUGUUAUUAUUAUUAUUAUUAUUAUUAUUAUUAUUGUUAUUACUAUUGUUGUUAUUACUAUUAUCACUACUAUUGUUAUUGUUGUUAUUAAUCUUUGCAAAGAGGUCUCGAAGGCUUUUGUUUACUUUUACUUUCGCUCCUCGCUUCUGCAUGAAUAUACAUAUUCUUCAACAAUUUCCCACUUUUUCUACGACCCUUGCUUCCUUGCUUUCUAUCUAGUUCGCUUCAUCUUCCCCGCCUCUAUUUUCUAUCUAUCUAUCUAUCUAUCUGUCUGUCUGUCUAUAUAUCUGACUGUUUUACUAUCUAUCUACCUCUCUAUUUAUCUAUCCCUGCCAAUCACUAUCUAACUAUCUGUCAAUCAAUAUCUAUCUGUCUGUCUAUCUAUCCAUCUCUAUCAAUAUAUCUAUCUAUUUGUCUGUCUAACCCUGUCUAUUUAUUUAUCUAUCUAUCUAUCUAUCUAUCUGUCUAUCUAUCUAGCCCUAUCUAUCUAUCCCUGUCUAUCAAUAUAUAUCUGUCUAUCUAUCCCUGUCUAUCAAAAUAUCUAUCUAUUUGUCUGUCUAUCCCUGUCUAUCUAUCUAUCCAUCCCUGUCUAUCAAUAUAUAUCUAUCUAUCUAUUUAUCUAUCUAUCCAUCCCUGUCUAUCAAUAUAUAUCUAUUUAUUUAUUUGUCUGUCCAACCCUGUCUAUCAAUAUCUAUCUAUCUACCUCUCUUUAUCUAUCUAUCUAUCUAUCUACCUCUCUUUAUUUGUCUAUCUAUCUAUUUGUAUGUCCAUCUAUCUAUCUAUCUAUUUGUAUGUCCAUCUAUCUAUCCAUCUAUCUAUCUCUAGCUACAUGUCUGUCUAUCAUUCUUCCUUUCUUUCUUUCUUACAGUCUUACCUUCUUCGAUUCUUUUUUCUCUUUCUUUCUUUCUUUCCUUCUUGCAAUCUUUCUCCGUCCGUAUUUUUUCUAUUUAGUUACGGUCAACAGUGUAUGUUGAUAUUGUUGUAGUAGUUCUCACAACAAUUAUCAGUGUUUUGCAUUUUUUUUUUUGGUUUCGCUUCGCUUCGCUUCGUUUCUUUUCCUUCUUUUUUUCUUUUUUCUUUUUCUUUUUUGUCCACCUGUUCCUCCUCGCUGUCAUUUUGAUAAAUUUUUCCGCAUCUCAAAUUGUCUCUCUUCGAUCUUAAUUUCGUUCCAUAGAUCUUUCGAAAUCGCGUUUGCGAUUUACUUUUAUUCCUUGUAUACAUUGUAUCUUCCCCUUCUUUCACUUUCUCUCUCUUAUUUUCCGUCUGUCCGUCUGUCUGUCUGUCUGUCUGUCACUCAGACUCUCUCUCCCCUCCCUUCAUACAUAUAGACAUCCAGACACACACACACGCACACUCCCACUCCUUGCAAAAGUCUUGUUACAUAUAAUUUCUCUAUUCGGUUCUUGCACGCCUCGCUUUGCUUCUUCCCUCCUACCCAACAGCAUCACAACAACAACAAACAUAAGGAAAAUUCAUAAAAAAAAGUAAUACAAAACAAAAUACCGCACUCACACACACACAGACUUGCACACACACACACACACAUACAUACAUAUAGGCGCAUACAUGUUCAUAAACACACACAGCUAACGCAUACAUAUUUUCACAACUCCACCUACCCCUGUUCUAUAUUCCAGCCUACCGACGACAAUCAAACCCAACAUCACAGUCGCCGCAGCCGCCGCCAUCUUUACCACUACCACCACCACCACUACCGUCGUAGUAGCACCAGCAGCCACUGCCGCCUCCGUCAACGUCUCAACUACCAAUUCCACCAACACUACCACCUCCACUACCACAGCCAAUACGCCGUUGUCGUCUCUGUCACUACAGCUCGAAAAACGCGAAAUUCUUCUUCACCUCACUCUUUCAAUUCCACCGAGACGAGGGGGGAAAAACUCCACCACCGACACCUCACCACUACCACCAACAACUACAACAACACCACUACCGCCACCAACACCACUACCACCAACGCCAUCGUCGCCAAACUACACCAACGAACAAACAGCCAUCCAUCCAUCCAUCCAAGCAUCCAUUCAGGCAGCCAACCAACAAAACUACCAACCAACCAACUGCCCGCCCGACUUUCCCUACCACCCGCCCAUCACACUUUCAGAGCCGCCUGUUGACAUAAACGCCCAACCUCGCCUCCUCCCCACGCACCGACUCAAACUCCACCGCUUCACCCCGCUCGCCUGGCCGCCACUUAACGAAAACAGAAUAUUUUUCAGUUUAACUUCCAAGUUUCUGCUAGUCCCCUCCUAGCAAAGCGUACGGUGGAGGAAAAACUUUAAUAAUAAGCAGCAGGAGAAUCGAAACGCAUUAAUCGGAAUAUAUAUACACAUACACAAUCAUAUACUAAUAAUAUAUACAUACAACCACAAUAACACACACAUACUUACUUACUGAAGGAGAGAGAGAGAAACAGAGGGAAAGAGUAAGCAACUAAUAGGAAAAGAUAGAGCUUUAAGUGAAAUUUGUAACAUAUAUAUAUAUACAUACAUACAUAUAUAUAUAUACAUAUAUGUCUUACAUAGAAACGCACCCACCCAUACAAAAUUAUUUGUAGUUUUUUGCUGUCGUCAUCUUAGAAGUUGUUGUUGUUAUUAUUAACAACAACAAUAUUAAUAAUAUAUUGUUAUUACAUAUAAUAAUAAUACAAUAGCGACGGUGGUGGUGGUGGUAGUGGUGAUGAUGUUGGAGACAUUUUAUAGUCAUUAACGGGAAUAUUUAAUAUUUAUUUUCAUUUGUUAUUACUAUUGAUAUUAUUGUUAUUAUUAUUGUUAAUAUUAUUAGUAUUAUUAUUAGUAUUAUUAUUAUCGGUUUCUUGUGACACAAUUUGUAAAAACAAAACAAAUAUUAAAAAAAAAUAAUAAUAAUAAUAACGAAACAAGGCAAGCCAAGACAAAAAAUUCUGUUCUGAUCGUUUCACGGUAUAUGGUUGGGUAGAAGGUACGUGUAUCUAGGAAGAAAGGUAAAUAACAAAAACACGAAGUACCUCUCUCGCUAUCACUCCUAGCCCUGCAUCCAAUACCACACACAUAUUCCACUAGACGUAUUAAGUCUCUCUCUCUCUCCGUCUCUUUCUCCCUCUAUCUGUCUGUCUAUCAAUCUGUCUAUCUGUGUAUGUAUCACAGACUUGCAACGCUCAUAUAUACAUAACGCUAACGGGCCUCUCCUUCUUAAAUCUUUCUCUCUCUCUUUCUCUCCCCCCCCCAACUCUGUCUCUCUAUGUGUCUGUCAGUGUCUCUCUGACAAACACAAAACAUUAUGUAUAUAUAUACAUAUAUAUAAACAUUAUAUAUAUGUAUAUAUAUAUAUAAUUAUUAACAGUCGGAGACAAAACAAUGCAUUUUAAGGAGUACCUAAUUAUCAACAAGGAGUUAAUUAUUAACCAGUAACACCAACAGCAUCGGCACCAUAGUUCUAUAACUUGGCCCGCCGUUUCUCUUUGAUAUAUUCAUCACAUACACCUAUAACUAUAUAUAUAUCUAUCUAUAUACAUAUAUAUAGUUUAUUAUACAGGAACGCAUACGUACAUGCAUUAAGGAAGUAAGACAACUAUAUACAUAAACAAAAUUCGUUUGAAUUCACGUAUGUAUACACGCAUUCGGAUUAAUUUUUAAGCAUUCAUUUACGCAUACAAAUUUCUUCUCAAGCAAGAAAAGAAGGAUUACACAAACAUAAACAAACAACACACAAAUAAACAAACACAUCAAUAAACAAUAAUAUUAAAAACAUAAUAACAAUAAUUAUAUUUACUACCGUUAUUGUUAUUACUACUACAAUUACCAAUUACACUUAUACAUUUUUCCCCUUCAAUUUUAAUUUCGAAUGCCCAGAGAAUCUCUUAGAUUUUUUUUUUUAAAUUUCAAUAUUGAAAGAGUGAACGAAGACGCCACCAACAGAAUUACGUGAGAGCAAAAAGACAUCAUAUUUUACCAGUUGUCCCUUCUAUUUCUUCCCCCUCUCACCGUUUAUAUAUACCCACAUAUAUAUACAUAUAUAUAUAUGUAAAAUUAAAACAAAAGGCUGCAGGAACACCAAAGUGAAAAAAAAAAGCAAAGGUGAAGAAAAGGAUUUUACGUACAACAUAGAAGAAGAAAAAAGAACCCUUAACCGAAGGCUAUUUGUUAUAUUACAUCUCAUGUUUUUACCAAAAUUUUUGUUACAGUCGGAGGAUUAAAACGAUAACAAAAAAAAAAAGUCUAUCAUGUUCGCCGUUUGAGGAAUUCUAUCGUAAUAUUAUUUGCAUUCCUUAACUUUCCAUAAUGUUAUAUUUCUGGUCACAGAUUUAUUUCUAGCACCGAUUGCAAAGAAUAUCUUCCUUUAAAUCAUAUAGGAACUUUGUCAUAAACAAAUUCUUCCAAAUAUAUAUAUAUAUAUAAAACGUAAAAAUAUUAUAUAUAUAUACGUGUAUUUAUAUAUAUAAAUCUGUAUAACUAUAUAUAUAUAUAUUUCCCCCCCACAGGUACAUAUUGUGUUUUUUUAAAUGCCGCUUUUAUAUAUAAAUUAAAAAAAAAAAAAGGAAAAAUAUGUGAAACCACUUGAUGGGGGAAUACGGAAGAUUUUGAGUGCUUAAUUAAACGGAAAAAAAAAAGAUAAUUAUCUAAAUUUAAUUGAAAAGAAAAAAAAAUAUUUUUCUCUUUUUUUAUACCGAAGUACAAAAACCGACGUAAUUGUUACGUUAUAUAAUGAUGUAUAAUGUAUAUAUAUAUACACACACACAAACAUACAACACACAUGUAAUUUGAAUACACACACACACACGCACCCAGUAUCGCAUACACAAAACUUCAACACGCGUGUCGCCAGCGUAUUUCAUUCGCAUCAAAGUAAAAUUUAAUUUUAAAUAAUCAUUUCGCAGAUAUAUUUAUAUACACACGUCUAAAAUACUGCUAUAUAUCUGUAUGUAUAUAUAUUAUAUUUAUUAAAUAUAUAUAGACAGAUAUAGUAGCUGCUUCAGCUAAGUUUUUUUUCUUCACACACAUAUAUAUAUUCAUACAUAUAUAUUAACCAAAGAAAAGAAAAAAAACCAAAAGCUGAGAGCAAAUUUUAAGCCGGGAGUACGAUUUCAAUAUGGAUUUGGUAAAAGGAUUUCAAGCGGUGAAGAAAAUGUGGUUCUGUAUACUGCUGUUGGUGGCAACAUCGCAAAGCACCAAGGCAUUGCCCGCGACCAUUCGAGUCGGUAAGUAC